CGCGCUGACCCGGCCCGCGUGGUUAAUGAAUCACGGUGUGACACAGCCGCCAGGUCGGAUUUGAACCCAGGCCUCCAAGGAAAGUGUGACGUCAGGUGGCCAUGGAUCCCUGCAAGCUAGGUUAUAAAUGGAGCCCCUCCCUAGGCUUGCCUCUUUAUCCUCCCAACCAAUAUAUGGAGCAGGCACUGAAAUAAUCACAUGGCCUAGCCUGGCUGCUCACAGACGGGACAGCCGAGAGCAUUGGUUUCGCGAACAAGUCUUGUCCAACCAUCUCACUACACAGGUGAGUAAACUGAGGCCCAGAGAGAAGCCCGCAAGAGUCUUAAGGUCACGGUGGGGGGCGCUAGAACCCCGGGGAGGGCUCCCCAUGUUCCCAGGUGGAAGAAAACGUGUGUGACUCUUCUGACGGGGGCUCGCCGCCAACCUUGGCAGGAACAGAGGCUCAGAGGUCACCCGAGAGCCCUGGCCGGCAGGAGGGGACAGGCCUGGCUGGUGGCCCAGCAGCUCGGCUG